GCCUUUGGAUAGCCUUGCCCCUGGGGUAUGACGUAAGGCUUCACCGACACCUGCUGUCACACAAAGGAUUUGCCCACACUGGUGUCAUCUGUCACUUCCAUGAUGUCCUUGCAAAGGACUCCUUGCCUUGUCCACCUCCUGAGAGGGUAGGCCUCACUCAGCAAGGUUCUGGCGCAGGAUGGAAAGAGAGGAGACACUGAGGGAAUAUGAGGAGAGAAAGAAGUCUCUUACACUACCACGGACAGAGUCGGGGAAACUUCAAUGCAUCCGGUAAAUCCCAGAUUGCCUGCGGAGUCAAUGUUCCCAUUUCCAAGAGAUGCAUCGGAUGUUAAAAACAGUAAAUAAGACGUGCUCACUCGGGGCUGGAAUGUUUGUAAUCUUGAGUUUUACUGUAUUGGCAUUCCUCCCUCAUCCCUAAAUCUAAACAGUGAACCUCACAAAAUAGCCCUGUAAUUUCAUUUCCAACAAUAAGAAAAAUAACAAAACCA